UUGUAACCAUCUUCACAUCACAUCUGAAUUUUGAUAUUAGAAGAAGCUCCUUAACUGACGAUUAACAGACACAUUACGAUCGAUUGCAUCAAAACUUCUUCAAGGACUGUGAGGGAUAGGAGAGCCUCCUAUAUAGUCCAGAUUCCAUUUAAACAUACUUGUGCUACUUUCCUUGUGAGAUAUGUAAGCUUUCCAGGCAUCAACUCCAAAGUAACUGUGCCUAAUGUAUUUGUAAAUUUAAUUUAAAAUACCCAGAGGAAUAACAUAAGACCUGCAAAGUAAUUAUUGUUGGCAAUUUAUUUGGGCAUAUAAGCCUCAUUAUCAUCAAAUUGUGCUAUGAUUAUAACGGUAAUAUAAUUCACGUCAUAAAAAGAAUGAGCCACAGGUGUAAUUAACUUCAUGGUUGUCAAAAUGCUGUCCAGAAAACCAGAUCAAUGGUACAAAACUCAAGGAUGUCCACUCAUCUAAGAGAAAAACAAUGAAUUGAGAGUUGAAAGAUGUACGCAAUGACAUCUAAAAGGGAGCAAGAGGAGAUAGAGGUAGUUGGCAGAGAAAAGACACCCUUUUUCAACCAUAAGGUUAGUCCCUUCUCUUUUGCUUAGUGCUUUAACUUUUUAAUUUAUUUGGGUGAAAAUUUAAAUUAGAUAAUAGAAUAAGAAACAUAAUUUCUACAUAAAGAAACUAGAAAUGUCUUAUGUUAAAGACUGUUCUAAUUGCAUGUUAUAACUAGUAUUGUAAGAGUAUGAUAUGACAAUGCAAAAAUGUAAUAAAUAAUAGUAAAGCAUAAAUGGUAACGAAGACUAGAGGUUGUUUAUGCAGUACAUCAUCGGCCUUGAUGAAAUUAUCACCUUACAAUUUUUUGUAACGUUGUAAGCUUUACAGCCAAGGUUCUAAUAGAAAUCACAUUUAGAAUUAGCCUUUUGAAAUUUGUGUAAUUCUCCAUGUCAAUUUCUAGGAUUCUUUGAGCAGUGAAAUAAGAAUUUUAUUCCUUAAGAAAAGAUAAUUCCUUAAUCUUGAGAAAAAAAAAAGUCUGACCACUAAUUAUAUAAUUGUUUUUAAGGAUAAUUCAAAUUGUUUUGUUUCUAUUAGUUGAACUUGAAGUUUAUCAAUUACAUUAAUAACAAAUUCUUUAGCAUUCAUUAAUGAGUGUAUGUAUUUAUCAUCACAAACAUGCAUAAUUCAGGCAAUGAGGGUUGUGUCUGCAGGUUUUGUGUGCCAGGUUGCGGCACUUGGAACUAUCAUCAACUAACAUAAAAAAACUAUGGCCUGAUAAACCAGACAGGGCUAUAUCCCCUGGUGUUCUCAACUUACAAAUCUAAUUUUAGGAGGGCUAGAUAGUCAAUUAGUUUUCCGAUUGAGGAGAAUACAAUGCAGACUUUGAGUGCUGUUAAGUAACAACACCAUGAAGAGUUCAGGGUAAAUAAAAGCAAGUGGGUACAACAAGCUUGAAAGGGUACCUCAAAGUCUAUGGAAUUUGAGCCAGUAGCACAUAUGGUAUACGAGUAUAAAUGUCAAAGCUACACAUAUCCUAGAGGAAGAAAAAAUGCCGGGUAAACUGCUAAAAAUAGCCAUAGUUGAAAUCAUUUGUCUCAAGAAAUACCAGCUUAAGUAUCAACAGCUUGAAACUCUUAAUAAGAUCAUAGAUGAGCAGAGGAAAUUAAGAAGCUGCUACCCUACGCAUAAUAUGCCUGUUUAGGACCUUUAUUCCAGUUCUUCCGUAAACACAUUCCUCAACCAUUUACUAUCGUAACAGAAUCUAAUUCACAGAUGAGGCAGAUAAAUGGUCAUAAACUCACAUAUUUGAAGCAAUUUAUGUCCAACCUAGGUAUCAUCCUUAAGAGUAUUUUAUAACAAUGAAGCAAAAGAGGCACAAAAGCCAGAAUUUUUCCUCUUUUUUUUUUCUGUUGGAAGAGUUUACCUGUGGAUGAGGAACUAAAAAGCAACUAAAAACAAAGCAUAAUGAAUAAAUAAAGAGAAGAAGAAGAAAAGAAACUCACCUGCGAAAGAGGAGCAAAGAACAGGAAAGAGCUUUGAAAGCGAAAAUGUGAAAAAAAUGGGUAUACAGCUCCAAAAAACCAAUAGCAGAGGAAAGAACGUUUAACCAGGUUAAAAAGAUCAAUUAUCAGCCAAAAGCACUUCAAGCUAAAGAAAAGGAGAAAUUUUCAACUUCUUCGUCUGGAGAAAAGGACUUUUCUGAUGGAGAAAUUUUUUCUGAAAUGGAGGUCGUUCUUCCUUCCUUUUAAGAGAAAAAGAC
rnacentral:lncRNA from 1 species